GAUGAACGCUGGCGGCGUGCCUAAUACAUGCAAGUCGAGCGGACAGACCAUGAUCUUGCUCCUUUCACGUUAGCGGCGCGCGUGUGUGUAACACGUGUAUAACCUCCCUGUCAUACUGGUAUAAUUUGGGGAAACCGGAUCUAAUACCGGAGAAGAUAUUGAACCGCAUUGUGCAUUAGUAAAAUACGGUUUUUCUGUCACUUAUAGAUGGUUCCGCGCUGCAUUAGCUGGUUGUGAAGGUAACGGCUUACCAAGGCAACGAUGCGUAGACGACGUGAGAGAGUGGUCGGCGACAUGAGAGGUGAGCCACGGUCCAGAGUACUACGGGAGGCCGCAGUAGGCAACCGUACGCAACGGUCGAAAGCAUGACGGAGCAACGCCAAGUGAGAGAUGAAAGCCUUCGGAGCGUAAUACCGUGUUAUUAGGGAAGAACAAAUGUGUCAGUAAAUAAGCACGUCGUGACGGUACCUAGUAAGAAAGCAACGGCUAACUACGUG
rnacentral:rRNA from 1 species